UUUAUUUAGACAACUUGUUUUUUUCAACAAUUCCACACUUGUCGUAAAAAAGGCAUUUUGUUGUACGUUGACAACUUAUUGUAGAUAAAUUAUGACACUGCGUAGUUAGGUAUUCAAAAUUUCGAUAUGGCCACGAGCGCAUAGAUAAAGUAUUUGUAUUUAAAACCUGGUUACCACUAUUGCGGCUCCCAGUGCAUGCUAACGAGUUGAAGAGGCAUAGAAAUUAUUGUACAAAAUGAAAAAAAAUUGUCUUUUUAUCGUGAUUCUCAUACUCACUCUUCUGGCCAUUUUUACUUCAGCUGAUAAUAAUAGUUAUGAUGUGCCGCAUUCACGCGUACGUCGCACGAGCUGUUUCCUCGGUAAUUUUGGUUGUGCAGUUCAUUGCAUCGUUCGAGGAUUUUGGUACGGCGGACAAUGCUCUGAAGAUCUUUGCUACUGCAAUUCAUAAUACUAACUAGAAAAUAAUUAAUUUUCCGCGCAAUAAUAGUGCAUUCGUGAAUUUAUGACGGCUGUAAUAAAUAUCAGAUAAAGGAAAUAAUGAAAUUA